GGGACGGUUUCCUGGUGGAGAUUAAUCAGCCCCAACUCGACUAGCUAUGAUCGCCGCCGCCGCCGCCGCCCCCAUCUCCUGCUCUCGCCACCGCCGGAUGCUGAGGCUGCUGCCGAGUCCCUUCUGUGGGGCCGCCGGUUCCUCUGGCCACCUCCCCCCCUCCUCCUUCCUCGGCAACUCCCCCCCGAGAGUUGCCUUCUCCUCGGCCUCGGCCUCCGCCUCCUCCCCGGGUCGAAGCCCUCGUCGGACGGCCAUGGCCACCGCUUCCACGGCGACCACGGACGAGAGCCCAGCUGCUGCCGCCGACCCGCCCCUCCCGCCUCCGCCGCCCCGGUCCCAGGUUAGGAUCCGAGGCCGAUCCCUCUCUGCCUUUGCCUCCCGAUCUUGCGGCUGUUCAUUCAUGCGACUUCAUCUGCAAUCUGUGGCGCAUGAAUCGACGAGGUUACGAUUCCUGUUCAGUUUUUCCGGAUGAUGUUCGCAAGUAGAUUCGAUCUCAGGCUGCAAAUCUAUCGUUCGUCGAGAAAAAUCUGUGGAGUGUUCUUUGAAUCCAUUCCCUGGUAAAACGAUGAAGAACAUGUCCGUCUGAGGUAAUCCGUGUCAGCAGUUUCCCUCUCGCACUGUGAUGUGGGCUCUGCCAUGCGACCUGGCUCUCUGCUUUUCAGCGGAGAAGAUCGCCAUCACUCCAAAAGUUCUGGAGCAGAUGCUCGCCAUGGCUCUGAGCUUGGUUGCUCUGGUUUAUGUGCGGAAGAAUGAACGAGCGAAAUAGAGAAUCAGCUCCAAUCGUCCUGGAGAAUUGCCAGUCUGGGAUCUUCUCCGAGGGAUGAAGAAUCUCCAUGGAGCUGGCGGUUUGGGAUGACAUUCAUGCAGGUCUGAGAGAAACCCAGUAGAUCUUGUCACAACAAAGAGGCCAAUGAAUCUCUCUCUCUCUCUCUCUCUCUUAUUGGAUGCAGCAGGAUCGACCCAUGAACACUUUUUACCAGCUGCCCAUGUCAUGCAGAUCUGAGAGAAACCCAGUAGAUCUUUUCACAACAAAGAGGUGAAGAAAAGGCUUGGACUUGUAAAUUCCCAAAUUUCUUCUUCUUCUUCUUCUUCUUCUUCUUCUUCUCUCUCAAUUCUGCUCUUCGUUUAAUCUUCAUUUUCAUCGCCUCCUCCCCUCCGCCACCCUCCCAUUUACUCUCCUGUCAUCGGAGGUGCUUCAGGAGAGAGACAGGCGAAUGAGGCUCUCUCUCUCUCGCUCUCUCUCGCUCUCUCAUUGGAUGCCGCGGGAGCAACCCAUGAACACUUUACCAACUGCCCAGUUCGUAUGAUAGAAUUCUUCUUGAUGCGUGGUUCUACGAAAUUGCAGACCAUCAUGGGUAGUCUAUGAUUAAUCUCAUCUUAUGAUAUGGCUCUGAGAGGACCUCUGGCCUCCAUUGUAUUCGUUCAACAGUUCUACCCGAGGAGAACGGUUCUCCCCGUCUUCAUCGCUCAGACAUGCUCUUGGGCCAAGAGCGAUGGAGAACAUGGAAGAACUCUGGGUCUCAUUGAUUGAUCUUCAUGGUUUCAUAGCCUGUGAUGCUGGUUACCUACACUGGCUUCGACCCUUUCUGGGUAUUUUUCUCUGUUCAUUGAUUGACUCUCUCUCUCUCUCUCUCUCUCUCUCCCUCCUGCAGAUUGCCGAGCGCCUGGAGAAGUUCAAGACGACGAUCUUCACUCAGAUGAGCUCCCUGGCGCUGAAACACGGGGCCAUCAACCUCGGGCAGGGCUUCCCCAAUUUUGACGGCCCAGACUUCGUGAAGGAGGCGGCCAUCCAGGCCAUCAGAGAAGGGAAGAACCAGUACGCGAGGGGCUACGGCGUCCCCUCCCUCAACGCCGCCAUCGCCGCCAGGUUCCAGAAGGACACCGGCCUCGCCGUUGACCCAGAGACGGAGGUCACCGUCACCUCCGGCUGCACCGAGGCCAUCGCCGCCACCAUGCUGGGCCUCGUCAACCCCGGGGACGAGGUCAUCGUCUUCGCCCCCUUCUACGACUCCUACCAGGCC
rnacentral:lncRNA from 1 species